rnacentral:rRNA from 1 species
GACGAACGCUGGCGGCGUGCCUAAACAUGCAAGUCGAACGGAGGCUUCGGCCUCAGUGGCGAACGGCGGAGUAAUACAUAAGCAACGUGCCCUGAAGACUGGGAUAGCCCGGGGAAACCCGGAGUAAUACCGGAUGUGGCCACUCUUAGGAUCUAGGAGUGAUUAAAUGGUUUUUCGCUUCAGGAGCGGCUUAUGGCCUAUCAGCUAGUUGGUGAGGUAACGGCUCACCAAGGCGACGACGGGUAGCGGGUCUGAGAGGACGAUCCGCCCGAGUGGGACUGAGACACGGCCCACACACCUACGGGUGGCAGCAGUUGGGAAUCUUGCACAAUGGGGGAAACCCUGAUGCAGCGACGCCGCGUGGAGGAUGAAGGAUCUAGGUCUGUAAACUCCUUUUAUCGGGAAAGACUUAGGACGGUACCCGAUGAAUAAGCACCGGCUAACUACGUGCCAGCAGCCGCGGUAAUU